UCAGCUCAUGUGAGAUUACUCCCUGAAUUUAAGCAUAUUAAUGAGGGAAGGAAAAGAAAUUAACUAAGAUUCCUUUAGUAGCGGCGAGCGAAACAGGAUAAGCCCAGCACUAAGCUCUCCGGUCGUCCUGACUGGUAGAGGAUGCAGUGUAUGGAAAGUCUAUUAUCUUAUGCAACGAUAAUAUGUUCAAGUCCAUCUUGAAUGGGGCCAUUACACCCAUAGAGGGUGCCAGGCCCGUAGCAGCUAUUAUCAGUAUAAGAAGGCUUUUCCAAAGAGUCGUGUUGCUUGAUAGUGCAGCACUAAGUUGGUGGUAAACUCCAUCUAAGGCUAAAUAUGACCACAAGACCGAUAGCGAACAAGUACCGUGAGGGAAAGUUGAAAAGCACUCUGAAUAGAGAGUUAAAUAGUACGUGAAACCGCUUAGGGGUUAAGCCUGAUGAACCCGAAUAUUUGAAAUGAGAAAUUCAUUAUUUUUUAGUAGUUUCCAUUGGAAACGAACAAUGAUAUGCACUUUUCUCAGUGUAAAACAUUGCGAUCUAUUUGUAUAUCCGUAUGGAUGGUUUAUCAAAUGGCCCGUAUGGUUUGUUCAUUCCUAUCUGUGGCAUUUUACAUGUCAUAUGGUUGAUGCCAUAGCGGUGACCUGGUAAACAGCAGAUAGUUUUUAAAAAUCAUGCAACCACAUUUUAUGUGUAUCACGGUUCGCGUACAUUACGUGCGUGGAUGCAGUGAUAGCAUGUAUUUGAUUGGCAAUGCGAUAGAUUUGGGAUACCUUCAGGACCCGUCUUGUAACACGGACCAAGAAGUCUAAC
rnacentral:rRNA from 1 species